rnacentral:rRNA from 1 species
AUACGGAGGGUGCAAGCGUUACUCGGAAUUACUGGGCGUAAAGCGUACGUAGGCGGUUAGUUAAGUUAGAUGUGAAAGCCCCGGGCUUAACCUGGGAACUGCAUUUAAAACUGGCUAACUAGAGUUAAGUAGAGGGGAGUGGAAUUUCAGGUGUAGCGGUGAAAUGCGUAGAGAUCUGAAGGAACACCAGUGGCGAAGGCGACUCCCUGGACUUGAACUGACGCUGAGGUACGAAAGCGUGGGUAGCAAACGGGAUUAGAUACCCUUGUAGUCC